UUACAGCAGGGUAUGACCGGAGUAGUCAAUGUGUCGUCUGACUGUUGUUGGCUGGUUACGGAGAUGUGACACGGUAGUGUGGUGAAGUACGACCAUAUAGGUGGGCGUAGGCCGCACAUGGGUGUGGUCGUUGGCGAGGCCGAGCUCGUUAGAUAGUCGUGUCAUACAUUUGACGAAGUCAGCUUAGCAGAUGCUAGGAGUAGCUCGGCUUCCCGGGUUCCGAGAUGUGCUCGGAGGAGCGCCCCGAGCUCGAGGGUCAGAGCGUAGCAUUGGAGUCGGUGUUUUGAGCUUGGUCGAGACGGGUCGGCGAUCGUUUGGAGGUACCUCGAGCUUGGUUGGGGGAGUUGGCGAAUGUCUGGAGUUGGUGGAGCUUUUGAUAAAGUUCCAAGGACGAGCUAACCCUGAGCCAGAGUGAAGAUUCAGUCGUCCGUCGCUGGUGUUCAUUGGGCUGAAAUUGGGCGGCCUUUUAGUUGUGGGCUGGACGAUCCAUUUUUUCCUCUAUCAAGUGGUAUUCAUAAACCAUUUUAUUCUAGAUACUAAGCAAAACUCUUGUUUAAUAUGGUUCUUAAUCAAAUAACCAUACCAUAUCAUUAAUAAGAAGCUUGCUGGCUUAUCAUACUUUAUUAAAUAAGAAACUUUUCAUUAGUAUUACUAAAUUAAUCCACAAAUUAAUAAUAUCAUUAAUAAUCAUAGUUUCAUAAUGUUUGCGAUAUUAAUUAAAUUUUCACUAGUAUUGUACUAUGCCCAUAUGUUAAUAUUUUAUUAAUCUCUAUUAUAUUUUUAUGAUCAUGAUUAUAGUACCUUUCUAUUUUUUUAUUAUAUACAGGUUAAGAUUGUGAUCUUAUUAUUUUAUAAACAAUAUAUUAUUUUGCUAUAUCAAUAAAUAUGC
rnacentral:lncRNA from 1 species